AACGAACGCUGGCGGCAGGCCUAACACAUGCAAGUCGAGCGAGAUCUUCGGAUCUAGCGGCGGACGGGUGAGUAACGCGUGGGAACGUACCCUCUUCUGCGGGAUAGCCACUGGAAACGGUGAGUAAUACCGCAUACGCCCUUCGGGGGAAAGAUUUAUCGGAGGAGGAUCGGCCCGCGUUGGAUUAGGUAGUUGGUGGGGUAAUGGCCUACCAAGCCUACGAUCCAUAGCUGGUUUUAGAGGAUGAUCAGCCACACUGGGACUGAGACACGGCCCAGACUCCUACGGGAGGCAGCAGUGGGGAAUCUUAGACAAUGGGCGCAAGCCUGAUCUAGCCAUGCCGCGUGAGUGACGAAGGCCUUAGGGUCGUAAAGCUCUUUCGCCUGUGAUGAUAAUGACAGUAGCAG
rnacentral:rRNA from 1 species